rnacentral:rRNA from 1 species
UUAACUUCGGGGUGNCAGGCGAUACGGGCAUAACUAGAGUGCUGUAGGGGAGACUGGAAUUCCUGGUGUAGCGGUGGANUGCGCAGAUAUCAGGAGGAACACCGAUGGCGAAGGCAGGUCUCUGGGCAGUAACUGACGCUGAGGAGCGAAAGCAUGGGGAGCGAACAGGAUUAGAUACCCUGGUAGUCCAUGCUGUAAACGGUGGGCGUUAGGUGUGGGGACCGGUUUGGUUUCUGUGCCGUAGCUAACGCAUUAAGCGCCCCGCCUGGGGAGUACGGCCGCAAGGCUAAAAUUCAAAGGAAUUGACGGGGGCCCGCACAAGCGGCGGAGCAUGUGGAUUAAUUCGAUGCAACGCGAAGAACCUUACCUGGGUUUGACAUGCACCAGACGGUUGUAGAGAUACGUACCUCCCUUUGUGGUUGGUGUGCAGGUGGUGCAUGGUUGUCGUCAGCUCGUGUCGUGAGAUGUUGGGUUAAGUCCCGCAACGAGCGCAACCCUUGUCUUAUGUUGCCAGCACGUUUUGGGUGGGGACUCAUGAGAGACUGCCGGGGUUAACUCGGAGGAAGGUGGGGAUGACGUCAAAUCAUCAUGCCCUUUAUGCCCAGGGCUUCACACAUGCUACAAUGGUUAGUACAACGCGCUGCGAGCCUGUGAGGGUGAGCGAAUCGCUGAAAGCUAAUCUCAGUUCGGAUUGGGGUCUGCAACUCGACCCCAUGAAGUCGGAGUCGCUAGUAAUCGCAGAUCAGCAAUGCUGCGGUGAAUACGUUCCCGGGCCUUGUACACACCGCCCGUCACGUCAUGAAAGUUGGUAACACCCGAAGCCCAUGGCCUAA